rnacentral:ncRNA from 1 species
UUAUUGUCAGCUACUUAUCUACCUACACAUGCAAGUCUCAGCACCCCUGUGAGAACGCCCUUUUACCUACACCAGGAAAAGGAGCCGGUAUCAGGCACAAUAUCUUGCCCAAGACACCUAGCUUUGCCACACCCUCAAGGGUAUUCAGCAGUGAUUAACAUUGUUCAUAAGCGCCAGCUUGACUCAGUUAAAUAAAAUAGAGCCGGCUAAUCCGGUGCCAGCCGCCGCGGCUACACCGCUAGGCCCAAGUUGACAAUUACUCGGCGUUAAGAGUGUUUUAAGUGCCCUAAACCAUUAGAAUUAAACUUUAACCAAGUUGUGACACACUUGUUCUUAAAAAAAACAUAAACGAAAGUUAUUCUAAUUUGACCACUUGAACCCACGACAGCUAAGACACAAACUGGGAUUAGGUACCCCACUAUGCCUAGCCGUAAAAUAUUAACUUACACCUCAUUCGCCAGGGAAUUACGAGCGCAAGCUUAAAACCCAAAGGACUUGACGGUGUCCCACCCACCUAGAGGAGCCUGUAUAAUCGAUUUUCCCCCGAUUCACCUCACCACUUCUAGCCACUCAGCCUGUAUACCUCCGUCGUAAGCUUACCAUAUGAACGCAUACUUAGUGAGCCUAAAGAUUUACCAUAAACACGUCAGGUCAAGGUGCAGCCCACGAUGUGGAAAGCAAUGGGCUACAAUUUCUAUACUAGAACAAACGAAAGACUACAUGAAACUCAGUCAUGAAGGCGGAUUUAGCAGUAAAAAGAAAAUAGAGUGUUCUUUUUAACAAGGCCCUGGGACGCGUACACACCGCCCGUCACCCUCUUCAAAUGUACAUAACAGUUUUUAACUACACUUUACUCUACAGAAGAGGUAAGUCGUAACACGGUAAGCGUACUGGAAAGUGCGCUUGGAUUAACAAA